rnacentral:tRNA from 1 species
UUCUCGGUAGUCCAGUGGUUAGGACUCUGAACUUUCACUGCAGGGGGCAUGGGUUUGAUCCCUGAUUGGGGAA